CUGAUAAGAAAAAACAGAAAAGGUAGAGAAAAAGAUAAUCUUGGAGAGAGAAAGAGGGAAUUCUAGAGAGAGAAGGGAGGCGUUGUUUGUGAAUUGUGGCGAUUGAAAACCCAUAAGAAAGGUGAGGCGAACAGCGGUGAUCUCUUGGUGUUUCUAUCGUCUUUCUUGGAGGGGUUCCCGAAAUCAACGAUCAAGAAGAAGGGUUGGAGAAAGAAGAGGAAUCAGGUUAUGUGAUGGCUUCUAGAGCUGCAGUUCCGGAGCAAGAUAGAGUUGGAGGAGGGAAGCAAAAGAACGGUCGUGCCGAAGGCAGAAAUCGGCGAGUUCCCGGAGAUUUUGGAAACUUCGUAACUGAAUCAACUGUUGAGGGGAAGCCUCAAAAUCAGAUCGCCCGCCCCAUAACAAGGAGUUUUGGCCCACAAUUGCUGGCAAAUGCACAAUCUGCAAAAGAGAAAAACAACAGCAACGUUAAAGAAAAAAAAUAGAAAGAACUCCAAUUCAUCAAAGUUUCCAACAUUGUCUUUUUAAUUUUCUUGAGUACUGCCCUUUACAGCAUUGGUGAGAUAACAAAAUUUUGCAAUAACUAUGCAGAAACUGUUAAUGAUUUGGCCGGAAAAGAUGGUGCUGUGAAACCCGUCGUGCUUCAUAAGAAGGAAUCCUUGAAGCUGAAGAAGGAGGCUAACUAAAAUUCCUUGGCUUUCCACAACACAUUAAAGAAAGGUAGAUUUCGAUUUGUUGACCUAGAAAUAAAACGGUUGGGAGAUGCAUUCUUAUCCAUUAGUGUUUUAACCUCCUUGAUUGUUGUCGGCGAUUUUCGCUUCAUGAUAACCUCUAUCUUUUCAGGGUUCGCCUCUAUCCCUCGUAUCCUAAUCAUGUAGUCUAAGAAUUUUCCGCCACCUACUCCAAACAUGCACUUAGCCGGGUUCAACUUCAUCCCAAUGAUGGUUGGAUCUCAAACUCUUUACGAGCAUGUCGUCCACAUAGGCCUCCAUUGACUUUCCAAUCUGCUCUCUGAACAUCCUAUUUACCAAUCUGAAAGUUCUUCUUGUAGGGGUUCUUGUAUCUGUUCGUCUAGAUCCUUGGGAUGAAACCGUUGUUGGUCCUGUUCUCUGUCCAGAUUUGUAUGUUCUGACUUUGGACUUGGACCAACAUAAUCUCCACUGGGAAAAGGUUCUUCUGCAACUCUUGGGGUGGGAGUCACUAUAUUGUUUCUUCCUCUUCCUUGGCUCGCUUGAUUCUCCUAUAAUAGUCGGAAAAUCAUUGUUAUCACAAUAGAGAGGAGUUUUGAUUUUACCUCUCAAUCAUUUUAUUUUUUUCUGGAUGGAUGCUUGAUAACACCAAUCAUUCAGAUUGUCUUUAAGAAAAGACAUUCUUCGCACCAUUGAAUCUAGCUGUCCUUCGGGUACUUUGUAUGAUUGGAUAAACAUUUUCCUCCAUGGACUGCAUAUCUUUUGCGAAGAACAUUGGAGCUUUAGAUCUGCAAUUUCUGCCUUCAGAUCUUUAAGGUCCUUAUGUAGAUCGGGAAGGAUUUUAAGAACCUCGUCCACCUUCUGGCCCAAGGAUUUUAUUUUCAUACUAUGUCCAUAGUCUUAAACUGUCUUUUGUAUGUCCCUCAGAUUUUGGGAGAUCUGCGAUGUACCCGGCUCGAGUUCUUUUGAGUCAGUCCCUUUAGUCAUAAUUUUUAGAAUUGAAAUUAUAUAGGAAUUUACCCAUUCUGUUUCUCCUGGUUGGGGAUUCUACCAUUGACUUCAGUGGAGUGUAGAUGUCUCACUGCAUUUCCUGGUAGCACUUGUCGAACUUCAAAAUUUCUCAGCUAUUCUUUUUUUUUUUUUUUUCUAGCGUGAGAAGUUCUUGAUCAAUC